rnacentral:rRNA from 1 species
UAGGGAAUCUUCCACAAUGGGCGAAAGGCCCUGAUGGAGCAACGCCGCGUGUGUGAUGAAGGGUUUCGGCUCGUAAACACUGUUGUAAGAGAAGAAUGACAUUGAGAGUAACUGUUCAAUGUGUGACGGUAUCUUACCAGAAAGGAACGGCUAAAUACGUGCCAG